rnacentral:rRNA from 1 species
UACGAAGGGGGCUAGCGUUGUUCGGAAUCACUGGGCGUAAAGGGCGCGUAGGCGGCCGAUCAAGUCGGGGGUGAAAGCCUGUGGCUCAACCACAGAAUUGCCUUCGAUACUGUUUGGCUUGAGACCGGAAGAGGUUAGUGGAACUGCGAGUGUAGAGGUGAAAUUCGUAGAUAUUCGCAAGAACACCAGUGGCGAAGGCGGCAUCCUGGACCGGCAUUGACGCUGAGGCGCGAAAGCCAGGGGAGCAAACAGG